AUGGAAGGUGCUACGCGCGUGGUGGGGCCCCGUGUACGAUGGCAAUUUCCUACGCCGCAAGAUCAAGAGCAUGACGGGAGAUCUCACCUUCGCUGACACCCUCACUACAAUCUUGAUGCCGGCGUUCGACGUCAGGAGCUAAAUCCCAUCACCUUCUCCUCGUACAAGGUGCCUCCAGGAGGAAAGGAAGAGAAAGAAAAUAAAUUGCGAGAUGUCUGCAUCGGCACCUCCGCCGCGCUGACCUUCUUCCAACCUUACCCCUUCGAUGCCCACUACCGCGACGGUAUGUUCCGGUGUGGAUUCCACCUCAUCGAUGGCGGUGUGGGUGCCAACAACCCCACCAUGUCCGCCAUCAUGAGGGUCGCCAGGGAGAUACUGUGCAGGAACGAAGACUUCCCUAUCUCUGAGCGCCCUGUUGUGGAUUUUACCAAGUACAUCGUCAUCUCCCUUGGCACCGGGUCUGUGAGGAAGGUGAAGAGGGGGAGGUACACCGCGCAGAAGUGUGCCAAGUGGGGCGCCUUUGGCUGACUUCUUCGCAUUGAGUGGCCAUGGAUCGGCAAGGAACUCCAAACCCCGCUCAUCGACAUGUACUCUCACGCCAGCGAUUUUUUGGUCGACCAGAACGUCGCCUUCCUCUUACAGGGUCACGGAUGCCAGGAAAAGUAUCUCCGCAUUCAAGCUAUGCUGGAUCCGUGGGUCAAGGAGGCCAUUUUGUCCAUGGACAACGCAACAAAGGAGAACAUGGAUAACCUGAUCGGGAUCGGCGAGGACCUGCUGACCAAACGGGUGGCUAGGGUGAGAAAGGAGAACGGGGAGGUACGAGCCCGCCCCAGGGGAGCGCAAAACGAACGAGGAUGAGCUCAAACACUUCGCCGAGAUUCUCUCCGACGAGCGCAAGCUGCGCCUUAAAAAACAAAAGGAACAAGCGCCACAGCCUCCGCCUGGAUCCGUCAGAUUCAGAACAUGCUCCUGACGCAGGUGGCCAGUGUACAACAGCGCACUGAAGAGAAGCGUACGUACAAAUGAUCAAGCUCGUCGAGCGCCUGGCCAUGAUGCUUCCCAACCAGCGCAGGCUGCGGUUUGAAAACCAAAAGAACAUGCGCUAGGAGCUGCAAAUAAAGGAACUAGUGUAGCCCUUGUUCUUUUAUAUUUCUGUUUGCGUGUAUCAGUAACUCUCACUCCAUCAUCUUCCCCUCUCAUUCUGGUGAGUUCUUUCUGAUCGGCUCGUUCUCUUAUUUUUCCAUUCGAAUCAAUGAAGACUCCACUGCUCUUAUUCUUGAA